AGGACGAACGCUGGCGGCGUGCCUAAUGCAUGCAAGUCGCACGCGCUUCCUUCGGGAAGUGAGUGGCGCACGGCUGAGGAACACAUACGAAUCUGCUCCGGCGUGGGGGAUAACGGGCCGAAAGGUCCGCUAAUCCCGCAUACGCUCGCUCGCAAGAGUGAGGAAAGGCGCAAGUCGCGCCGGAAUGAGCGUGCGGCCCAUCAGGUUGUUGGUGUGGUAAUGGCGCACCAAGCCGGUGACGGGUAGCUGGUCUGUGAGGACAACCAGCCAGACUGGGACUGAGACACGGCCCAGACUCCUACGGGAGGCAGCAGCAAGGAAUUUUCGGCAAUGGGCGAAAGCCUGACCGAGCAACGCCGCGUGCGGAUGACGGCUUCGGGUGUAACCGCUUUCUGUGGACGAUACGGACGGUACCGCGAGGAAUAAGCCUCGGCUAACUCUGUGCCGAGCAGCCGC
rnacentral:rRNA from 1 species